rnacentral:rRNA from 1 species
GACGAACGCUGGCGGCGUGCUUAACACAUGCAAGUCGAACGGUGAAGCCUUCGGGUGGAUCAGUGGCGAACGGGUGAGUAACACGUGAGCAAUCUGCCCUUGACUCUGGGAUAACUUCGGGAAACCGGAGCUAAUACCGGAUAUGACAUCUGGCCGCAUGGUCUGGGUGUGGAAAGAUUUAUCGGUCAAGGAUGAGCUCGCGGCCUAUCAGCUUGUGUGGGUAGGAG